CUGGUUGAUCCUGCCAGUAGUCAUAUGCUUGUCUCAAAGAUUAAGCCAUGCAUGUCUAAGUAUAAGCGACUUGUACUGUGAAGCUGCGAAUGGCUCAUUAAAUCAGUUAUGGUUUCUUUGAUGGGUACCUUGCUACUUGGAUACCCGUAGUAAUUCUAGAGCUAAUACAUGCAGGAAUGCCCGACUUCGGAAGGGCUGUAUUUAUUAGAUAAGAAACCUUCUCGGGUUCGCCCGGUUGUGUGCUGAGUCAUAAUAACUGCUCGAAUCGCACGGCUCUACGCCGGCGAAUGGUUCAUUCAAAUUUCUGCCCUAUACGCUUUCGAUGGUAGGAUAGAGGCCUACCAUGGCGUUAACGGGUAACGGAGAAUUAGGGUUCGAUUCCGGAGAGGGAGCCUGAGAGAUGGCUACCACAUCCUAGGAAGGCAGCAGGCGCCGUAAAUUGCCCGAAUCCUGCACAGGGAGGUAGUGACAAGAAAUAACAAUACAUGGCUACUUCUAGUCUUGGAAUUGGAAUGAGUACAA
rnacentral:rRNA from 1 species